CUUGGAGCACCUGGGACAGUGGAAGGUGUCCCUGCCAUGGCAGGGAGUGGAAAAGGAUGGGCUUUAAGGUCCCUCCAGCCCAAACUAUUCUGGGAUGAUCUCCCACAGCCUCAGGCAGUGCAGUAUGUAGCCUACCUAGGGCCAACCUCUCUCCUUCAAAUACACUACUGAUAUUCACCCAUAUUGUUUUGAUUUUGGCAUCUGGCCUCUGCCACUUCUGCUUGGAAAUGGUGCCACAAGACCAUUUGGUGUCAGCAGCUUACCAGGUGACACCAGGUGUGUGUCUCUGCUCAGAUGUGUCCCCAGGCCUCUGCCCCUCCAUCUGUCUCCUCUGAUGGACCAAGAAAUAGACACAGCUUUUGUAAGCCCACAGAGUGACUCUCCAAAUUCAUAUUUGCAGAAAGACAUUAAUGUUCACAUGUGGUGUCAGAACAAGAUAAGUGUCUGUGCAAUUAAGAAACAGCUGUUGCUGGCAGCUUGCCCCAGCCAGUCUCAACAAGGAGCAAGACAGGUAGCCUGGUUUUAUCAGACUCUGGGAUUCCUUUCCAACCACUCCUGUGUGUUCCCAGCAAGACAAUAUAUCAGCCUGUAGGAAUGGCCCCUUGGUUUGGGGCCAAAACACAAGAUUAGGUUGUUCUGAGGCAGCGUGCGCUGUGGCGAGGACAGCGUGUUUCCCCAAACAACACCUGGCAACAGGGAUUCAAAACAAUGCUGAAAUCAGGCCAAUCUAAAGAUUUGCUGGAGCUGCUAGUGAUGCAAAACGAGGACAGGUGUGGCCAUAUUUCCAAAAUUGCCCACGGCCAGUGUUUCAGGAACUUGGCAGCACCUGGCUGGGACAGAUUUUCUAAGGAGGUCAGCACCGAAGAUGUGGAGCCAGCAUGAAAACCCAUCCCAGAAUAUCUAGCAGAGAAAUACAUCCCUUGAGGGUGGCACAAAUGUUUCCCCACUGCACCAGGAGCAAGGAGACUUCAGACCCUUCUGCAGCCCCUGGACACAGCCUGGCAGUGCUGGAGACCUCUCCUACUCCCAGCCAGAGAGAAGGGAUUCUUUUGGCACUUAAGCAUCAAAAUCAAGCACUCAGCAGCCAAGUUCUCAAAAGUGUAAGUGCUACUGAGAAGGAAGGAUGCUCCCUGAGCCAAACGUUCCCAUGCCCCUGUGUUACGGUGUUUUUCUCUGCUCUGGCUCUGCAGAGUCUUCCUCCUGGGCUCCUGUCUCUUUCCAUGUACCAACUUGCUCAGUGAACCAUUAUUCA
rnacentral:lncRNA from 1 species